UCAAAUGAUCGUGCCAAACCAAGUAUGUUCCAUUAUGUGAGUAAGCUUUGCAAGAGCAAUUGCUGAGGCAAAUUAACUCGCAAUCAUGAAUAUUGGCAGCAUCGACGAUGUGUGCACCAUCAGGCAAUUCCACAUUAUUAAUCAAGCUGAAAGAAUCCUAGCACAAAAUUGCCAUCCUGAGAGAUCAACUUCUGGUUCCCAGAGAGCCGCUGGUUUGCUGUGAGGGUAUCAGAUGCAUGAGAUGGAGAACUUUGCAGAGAAAGAAGCAGUAUAAGUAAGGAUAUGGCGUGUGGAGAAAGCCUGGUCGCCAUUCACAAAAUCAAAGGGGAAAGGAAGGUUGCUCCUAUUUUUGAGUACAGAAAGAACUUGGUAUGUACUCACAAGCAUACUUGCUCUUUAUAUGCUCAGCAUCUAAAUCUGACAUUGUGCAUAUUUGUCGUCGGCGUGAUAGUUUCAACUUUUAACAGCCUUUGAUUUGAUAUCUCCAUGACUGUCCAGUUUCGUUUGGCAUUAUCCGCAUUUUUCUUUCGAAAAGACCAUCAGCAUCAGUUAUUAUUAUGCAUUUUGACUUUAAUAAUAUUUUUUCUUCUUUGACUGUUGAAUUGGUUCGGAAUUCAGAAAGAGAUUGGGAUGACAAUAGAUGGUUAUGAUGAUUUGACGACUGUGCGGUCAACGGUCAGGGUCAGGCUGCAGCAACGGCCAGAAAAUUCUGUACCGUAACUUGUCCUCUGUUAACUUCUUAGGAUAUAGCAAAAUUGCUGACUUUGCUCUGAUCCUACUAACUUAUCUGGUUCUUUGGUCAUUGUUUUUUUUAUCCUCCUACACUGUGGUCUUGUUACCUCUAAUGAUGGGCCUGUUUUUCCCUACAGGUUUGUUUGUUGUGGCCUUGUCGAGAGAUGAUCCGUGGGCUUCAGUUCAGUACAAGACACCACUGGGCCCCCAAUAAUGAAUCUACAAUCGCCCGCACCUACCCAAACUCCCGGUCGAUUCGACCCACGUGGUGGACCCCAUACCCACCUGAUUUAUCUCUUCCCCCUCCUAAGACUAGUCCAACAGCAGAGGCAAUUCCAUUUUUGCCUCUCGAGUUGGCACUGUGUAUCGCAAAAUCUCUCUCCAACAGUAUAUGUAAAAGCCUGAGGCAGUUUGUCUC